AAUCAUCCGCAAUGGGCGAAAGCCUGACGGUGCGACGCCGCGUGAACGAUGAAGGUCUUCGGAUCGUAAAACUCUGUCAUUGGGGAAGAAUAAAUGACGGUACCCAAUGAGGAAGCCCCGGCUAACUACGUGCCAGCAGCCGCGGUAAUACGUAGGGGGCGAGCGUUGUCCGGAAUUACUGGGCGUAAAGGGUACGUAGGCGGCCCUUUAAGUCAGAUGUGAAAGCCCACGGCUUAACCGUGGGACUGCAUUUGAAACUGGAGGGCUUGAGUGUCGGAGAGGGCAGUGGAAUUCCCAGUGUAGCGGUGGAAUGCGUAGAUAUUGGGAGGAACACCAGUGGCGAAGGCGACUGCCUGGACGAUAACUGACGCUGAGGCACGAAAGCUAGGGGAGCAAACA
rnacentral:rRNA from 1 species